rnacentral:rRNA from 1 species
UUCGAUUAGAGUUUGAUCCUGGCUCAGGACGAACGCUGGCGGCGUGCCUAAUACAUGCAAGUCGAGCGAACAGAGAAGGAGCUUGCUCCUUCGACGUUAGCGGCGGACGGGUGAGUAACACGUGGGCAACCUACCUUAUAGUUUGGGAUAACUCCGGGAAACCGGGGCUAAUACCGAAUAAUCUGUUUCACCUCAUGGUGAAACACUGAAAGACGGUUUCGGCUGUCGCUAUAGGAUGGGCCCGCGGCGCAUUAGCUAGUUGGUGAGGUAACGGCUCACCAAGGCGACGAUGCGUAGCCGACCUGAGAGGGUGAUCGGCCACACUGGGACUGAGACACGGCCCAGACUCCUACGGGAGGCAGCAGUAGGGAAUCUUCCACAAUGGGCGAAAGCCUGAUGGAGCAACGCCGCGUGAGUGAAGAAGGAUUUCGGUUCGUAAAACUCUGUUGUAAGGGAAGAACAAGUACAGUAGUAACUGGCUGUACCUUGACGGUACCUUAUUAGAAAGCCACGGCUAACUACGUGCCAGCAGCCGCGGUAAUACGUAGGUGGCAAGCGUUGUCCGGAAUUAUUGGGCGUAAAGCGCGCGCAGGUGGUUUCUUAAGUCUGAUGUGAAAGCCCACGGCUCAACCGUGGAGGGUCAUUGGAAACUGGGAGACUUGAGUGCAGAAGAGGAUAGUGGAAUUCCAAGUGUAGCGGUGAAAUGCGUAGAGAUUUGGAGGAACACCAGUGGCGAA